UACGAACCGUCCAAACGUUACUCGGAAUCACUGGGCUUAAAGGGUGCGUAGGCCGCGCGGAGGGUGGGAUGUGAAAUCCCCCGGCUCAACCGGGGAAUAGCGUCCCAAACCGCCGUGCUCGAGGGAGACAGAGGUGAGCGGAACUGAUGGUGGAGCGGUGAAAUGCGUUGAUAUCAUCAGGAACACCAGUGGCGAAAGCGGCUCACUGGGUCUUUCCUAACGCUGAGGCACGAAAGCUAGGGGAGCGAACGGGAUUAGAUACCCCGGUAGUCCUAGCCUUAAACGAUGAGCACUUGAUUGGAGGGAUGGUCACGUCCUUCCGGUCGUAGCGAAAGUGUUAAGUGCUCCGCCUGGGGAGUAUGGUCGCAAGGCUGAA
rnacentral:rRNA from 1 species